rnacentral:rRNA from 1 species
AGAGCGAACGCUGGCGGCAGGCCUAACACAUGCAAGUCGAGCGCCCCGCAAGGGGAGCGGCAGACGGGAGAGUAACACGUGGGAACGUACCCUUCAGUUCGGAACAACCCAGGGAAACUUGGGCUAAUACCGAAUACGUCCGUAAGGAGAAAGAUUUAUCGCUGAAGGAUCGGCCCGCGUCUGAUUAGCUUGUUGGUGAGGUAACGGCUCACCAAGGCGACGAUCAGUAGCUGGUCUGAGAGGAUGAUCAGCCUCACUGGGACUGAGACACGGCCCAGACUCCUACGGGAGGCAGCAGUGGGGAAUAUUGGACAAUGGGCGCAAGCCUGAUCCAGCCAUGCCGCGUGGGUGAUGAAGGCCCUAGGGUUGUAAACGGCCCUUUCGGCGGGGAAGAUAAUGACGGUACCCGCGAGAAGAACGCCCCGGCUAACGUUCGCGCCAGCAGCCGC